UAGGCCGGAUGAGGUCAAGGUGAGCAUGACGGUGCGUUGGUCGACGGCGGCGCUGGAGCUCACUGGUGCAGUGCAAGAAGAUGGGCUCCAGUUGGUCGAUGGGGUGAUGUGGUUCCGACUGGCGUC
rnacentral:snoRNA from 1 species